rnacentral:rRNA from 1 species
CCAGGAUUCUCCUAGUAACGGCGAGUGAACGGAGAUUAGCCCAUCACCGAAGCCUGCGUGUGUUUGCAUGCUAGGCAAUGUGGUGUUAAAGCUUGUACCUGGGACCGUGUACCUACCCGAAGUCUAAAUCCGAUUGUGGCUUUGGAUUCAUUCCAUAGCGGGUGAAAGUCCCGUGCGGGUAGGACUCAUUCGAAUCACACGGUCCUCAGAUGUGCAUGCUUUCGAGUCGGAUUGCUUGAGAAUGCAGUCCAAAGUGGGUGGUAAACUCCAUCCAAGGCUAAAUACUGGCACGAGUCCGAUAGUAGACAAGUACCGUGAGGGAAAGUUGAAAAGUACUCUGAAGAGAGAGUAAAUAGUACGUGAAGCCGAUUGCAGGGAAGCUGGUGGAGUCAAGCUUCGUGCUUGAGGGAUUGAUGCUGGGAGCAGGUGUGUGAUUUGGAUGUGAGGUUGGACGACUUGGAAUAAGUUGGGCGUGUUCUGAAUGCGCUUCAAGUCAUUCUGGGUAGAGUGUUAUGAGCCAUCCUCGCUUUCCUACUCUCAGUGUUGUAUUCUUCGCUGCACAGGCCACAGUCAAUAGGUGUAUGCGGUAUGAAGGCCUAACUGUGCUUCGGCGGGUGCAAGCUCUCCGGGUGCAGGAUGGCAGGUGCUGUCUUCGGGCCUUGUGUUCGAUGAUAGUUGUUGUGGUUUCGACCGGCUGGUCUUCAUACUGUGUUCUACUUAUUGCCUAUCAAUGGCGUAGCUUCCACGGAAGUGCGUUGUGAAGAACUGUG